rnacentral:rRNA from 1 species
AUUGAACGCUGGCGGCAGGCCUAACACAUGCAAGUCGAACGAGUGGCGGACGGGUGAGUAAUGUCUGGGAAACUGCCUGAUGGAGGGGGAUAACUACUGGAAACGGUAGCUAAUACCGCAUACCAUCGGAUGUGCCCAGAUGGGAUUAGCUAGUAGGUGUGUUAAAGGCUCACCUAGGCGACGAUCCCUAGCUGGUCUGAGAGGAUGACCAGCAACACUGGAACUGCGACACGGACCAGAGUCCAACGGGGGGAAGCAGUGGGGAAUAUGGGACAAGGGGGGCAAGCCUAAUGCAACCAUGCCGCGGGUAUGAAGAGGGCCUUCGGGUGGUAAAGUACUUGUAGCGGGGAGGCGUUACCAGCAGAAGAAGCACCGGCUAACUCCGUGCCAGCCGCCGCGGUAAUAC